UAAACCGGAGCUAAUACCGGAUAGUUCCUUGAACCGCAUGGUUCAAGGAUGAAAGACGGUUUCGGCUGUCACUUACAGAUGGACCCGCGGCGCAUUAGCUAGUUGGUGAGGUAACGGCUCACCAAGGCGACGAUGCGUAGCCGACCUGAGAGGGUGAUCGGCCACACUGGGACUGAGACACGGCCCAGACUCCUACGGGAGGCAGCAGUAGGGAAUCUUCCGCAAUGGACGAAAGUCUGACGGAGCAACGCCGCGUGAGUGAUGAAGGUUUUCGGAUCGUAAAGCUCUGUUGUUAGGGAAGAACAAGUGCAAGAGUAACUGCUUGCACCUUGACGGUACCUAACCAGAAAGCCACGGCUAACUACGUGCCAGCAGCCGCGGUAAUACGUAGGUGGCAAGCGUUGUCCGGAAUUAUUGGGCGUAAA
rnacentral:rRNA from 2 species